rnacentral:rRNA from 1 species
CCUACGGGGGGCAGCAGUGAGGAAUAUUGGUCAAUGGACGAGAGUCUGAACCAGCCAAGUAGCGUGAAGGAUGACUGCCCUAUGGGUUGUAAACUUCUUUUAUAUGGGAAUAAAACGUUCCACGUGUGGGAUUUUGUAUGUACCAUAUGAAUAAGGAUCGGCUAACUCCGUGCCAGCAGCCGCGGUAAUACGGAGGCUCCGAGCGUUAUCCGGAUUUAUUGGGUUUAAAGGGAGCGUAGGUGGAUUGUUAAGUCAGUUGUGAAAGUUUGCGGCUCAACCGUAAAAUUGCAGUUGAAACUGGCAGUCUUGAGUACAGUAGAGGUGGGCGGAAUUCGUGGUGUAGCGGUGAAAUGCUUAGAUAUCACGAAGAACUCCGAUUGCGAAGGCAGUUCACUGGACUGCAACUGACACUGAGGCUCGAAAGUGUGGGUAUCAAACAGGAUUAGAUACCCCUGUAGUC